UACAGAGGGGGCAAGCGUUGUUCGGAAUUACUGGGCGUAAAGGGCGCGUAGGCGGCCGCCUAAGUCAGACGUGAAAUCCCUCGGCUCAACCGGGGAACUGCGUCUGAUACUGGGUGGCUUGAAUCCGGGAGAGGGAUGCGGAAUUCCAGGUGUAGCGGUGAAAUGCGUAGAUAUCAAGAGGAACACCUGAGGUGAAGACGGGUUGCUGGGCUGACACUGACGCUGAGGCGCGAAAGCCAGGGGAGCAAACGGG
rnacentral:rRNA from 1 species